rnacentral:rRNA from 1 species
GAUCUGAAAUCAGGUAGGGCUACCCGCUGAACUUAAGCAUAUCAAUAAGCGGAGGAAAAGAAACUAACAAGGAUUCCCCUAGUAACGGCGAGUGAAGCGGGAAGAGCUCAAAUUUAAAAUCUGGUUUGCUUUGCAAAUCCGAGUUGUAGUCUGAAGAAACGUUUUCCAUGAAAGCUGAGGCACAAGUCCUUUGGAACAGGGCAUCAUAGAGGGUGAGAAUCCCGUCCAUGGUCUCAAGCCUUUCAUUUUGUGAUACGUUUUCUAAGAGUCAGGUUGUUUGGGAAUGCAGCCUAAAAUGGGUGGUAAAUUUCAUCUAAAGCUAAAUAUUGGCGAGAGACCGAUAGCGAACAAGUACCGUGAGGGAAAGAUGAAAAGAACUUUGAAAAGAGAGUUAAAAAGUACGUGAAAUUGUUGAAAGGGAACCGU